rnacentral:rRNA from 1 species
GACGAACGCUGGCGGCGUGCUUAACACAUGCAAGUCUAGGGGGCCCAGCAAUGGGUCACCGGCGAACGGGUGCGUAACACGUGAGCGACCUACCCUGGAAUGGGGGAUAGCCGGCCCAACGGCCGGGUAAUACCGCAUACGCUCUUCGAGCUUCAUGGCUUGGAGAGGAAACCUUUAGGGUUCCUGGAGGGGCUCGCGGCCUAUCAGCUAGUUGGCGAGGUAACGGCUCACCAAGGCGAUGACGGGUAGCUGGUCUGAGAGGAUGGCCAGCCACAUUGGGACUGAGAAACGGCCCAGACUCCUACGGGAGGCAG